rnacentral:rRNA from 1 species
GACGAACGCUGGCGGCGCGCUUAAUACAUGCAAGUCGAACGAGAAGCCAGAGCUUGCUCUGGUGGAAAGUGGCGAACGGGUGAGUAACACGUGAGAAACCUGCCCCAAAGAUUGGGAUAAGCCUUGGAAACGAGGUCUAAUACCAAAUACCUUCUUUUUAACACAUGUUAAAAAGAAGAAAUGCUCCGGCGCUUUGGGAUGGUCUCGCGAUCUAUCAGCUUGUUGGUGAGGUAACGGCUCACCAAGGCAUCGACGGAUAGCUGGUCUGAGAGGAUGUCCAGCCACAUUGGAACUGAGACACGGUCCAAACUCCUACGGGAGGCAGCAGUAGGGAAUCUUGCACAAUGAGGGAACCUUGAUGCAGCGACGCCGCGU